UACGUAGGGGGCAAGCGUUGUCCGGAUUUAUUGGGCGUAAAGCGCCCGCAGGCGGUCGCGUCAGUUUGGGGUGACAGCUCCUGGCUUAACCGGGAGAGGACCUCGAAGACGGCGCGACUUGAGGGCCAGAGAGGGACAUGGAACUCCGGGUGGAGUGGUGAAAUGCGUAGAGAUCCGGAAGAACACCAAAGGCGAAGGCAGUGUCCUGGCUGGCACCUGACGCUCAGGGGCGAAAGCGAGGGGAGCGAACGGG
rnacentral:rRNA from 1 species